rnacentral:rRNA from 1 species
ACAGAGGGUCGCUACCACGCGAGUGGAUGCCAAUCCCCAAAACCUCUCUCAGUUCGGACUGGAGUCUGCAACCCGACUCCACGAAGCUGGAUUCGCUAGUAAUCGCGCAUCAGCCACGGCGCGGUGAAUACGUUCCCGGGCCUUGUACACACCGCCCGUCAAGCCAUGGGAGCCGGGGGUACCUGAAGUGCGUAACCGCGAGGAGCGCCCUAGGGUAAAACUGGUGACUGGGGCUAAGUCGUAACAAGGUAUC